rnacentral:rRNA from 1 species
CCCUUAGAUGUUCUGGGCUGCACCCGUGCUACACUGGCAGGUUCAGCGAGCUUCAUGCCCUGAUCUGAAAGGAAUGGGAAAUCUUUUCAAAACCUGCCGUGCUUGGGAUAGAUGUUUGCAAUUAUUCAUCUUCAACGAGGAUUGCCUUGUAAGCGCACGUCAUCAGCGUGCAUUGAAUACGACCCUGUAUUCUUUACACACCGCCCGUCGCUCCUACCGAUUGAAGUUUUCGGUGAGUUGACAGGAGGAUUUUUUUGAAACUGGUUCGCCAGUGGAUUUUAGAUCCAAAUGCCAACGAAUCGAUGGCUUUAGAGGAAGGAGAAGUCGUAACA